CAGUCGCCGCGGUAAUACGAAGGGGGCUAGCGUUGUUCGGAUUUACUGGGCGUAAAGCGCACGUAGGCGGACUUUUAAGUCAGGGGUGAAAUCCCGGGGCUCAACCCCGGAACUGCCUUUGAUACUGGGAGUCUUGAGUUCGAGAGAGGUGAGUGGAAUUGCGAGUGUAGAGGUGAAAUUCGUAGAUAUUCGCAGGAACACCAGUGGCGAAGGCGGCUCACUGGCUCGAUACUGACGCUGAGGUGCGAAAGCGUGGGGAGCAAACAGGAUUAGAUACCCCUGUAGUCCCUGUCUCUUAUAC
rnacentral:rRNA from 1 species